GAUGAACGCUGGCGGCGUGCCUAAUACAUGCAAGUCGAGCGAACAGACGAGGAGCUUGCUCCUCUGACGUUAGCGGCGGACGGGUGAGUAACACGUGGAUAGCCUACCUAUAAGACUGGGAUAACUUCGGGAAACCGGAGCUAAUACCGGAUAAUAUAUUGAACCGCAUGGUUCAAUAGUGAAAGACGGUUUUGCUGUCACUUAUAGAUGGAUCCGCGCCGCAUUAGCUAGUUGGUAAGGUAACGGCUUACCAUGGCAACGAUGCGUAGCCGACCUGAGAGGGUGAUCGGCCACACUGGAACUGAGACACGGUCCAGACUCCUACGGGAGGCAGCAGUAGGGAAUCUUCCGCAAUGGGCGAAAGCCUGACGGAGCAACGCCGCGUGAGUGAUGAAGGUCUUCGGAUCGUAAAACUCUGUUAUUAGGGAAGAACAAAUGUGUAAGUAACUAUGCACGUCUUGACGGUACCUAAUCAGAAAGCCACGGCUAACUACGUG
rnacentral:rRNA from 1 species